ACCAGAUACUUGGCAACUAUACAUUUGUAGAUGUAGAUCCCAUUCGUUGAAGGUAGAAAGGGCACGUUGGAAGAUAGAGGAGGCGGAGAAGUUUUUCGAAUUGAAAAUAACUUAAUAUCUCUCCUUAUACUCCAAAGGACGAAAGUGAUUUUCUGGAGGAUGGGGUUGGUUUUUUGAGGUUUGUGAAGAGGCUAUUAAUCGAUGUGGGGUUGAGGAAGCAGUUCAACCAACGUUUUGUAAGGGGGUGGGCCCAAGUAAGUUUUGUAGUUGGGCAAUGGAGGAAAAGAUGGUUCGCAAGUUGGGGUGCGGCUGAUGUGGUGGACUGGCGGGUGUGAAGUGUGUCCCUAACCGGGAGACUAUUGUGGCCUAUUUUCCACAGGAAGAUUUUGAGUUUGGGGAUGUCUUGUUUCCAAAUCCAAUGGUAGUGCCAUUUGUCUUUAAAUUGGGGGAGAUCAUGGGCUAGCUAGGUGGCCGAUUUAACCAUGAAUUCUCCUGAUUUAGUGAGGCCCCACAUUGGGUUAUCCUCUAUAUCCACAUGGAGGUGUUGUCUUCCUUAAUACAAUCCGCUACCAGGAGAUCUAGAUUGACUGUAUGGAUGGAUUUCUGAAGAUAAGAGAGUAAGUUUUCUUUGAGAAUCCAGUUGUCAAGCCAUAAUUUAAUGGAUUUUCCAUUCCCUACUUUCCAUCUAAUGCCUUUGCGAAUGAUUUCUCGUUGGGCUAAGAUUUCUCGCCAGAUAUUCCAGUCUUUUCGCUUUGGUUUAUAUUCAAAGAAGUUGCUUUGUGAGAGGUACUUUUUCCGCAUUAGGGUUGUCCAUAUAUUAUCUGGUUUCGUUGGGAUUUUCCAAGCUAGUUUCGCUAGGAAGGCUUUGUUGAGGGGGAGAGUCCGACGUAGCCCUAGCCCUCCCAUAGUUUUAGGGGUGCAGAUUUUGUUCUAGGCAAUGAGCGGAGUAGAGGUCUUGGUGGGGGUCUAGUUCCAAAAAUAAAUUAUGUGAAGGAGUCAAGUUGGUGGGCAGCCUUUUUCGGAACAAGGAAAGAAGAGCAGAUGUAGGAUGGUAGUACUUCUAAGUUACUUUGGAUGAGGGUAGUUCUUCCGGCUUUAGAUAGGUACUAGGAGUGCCAUGAGGAAAUUCUUGAUUCAUUCUUUUCAAGGGAAAUUUGUAAGUCUUUCCUUGUGGGGUUAGAGCUGCUAAAGUGGAUACCAAGAUAAUGUCCUAAUGCUUUCGUAGGUUGCAUUGGAGCAUUUUUGUGUCCAGUAGAAAUUUGUUUCGAGAAAACGAUGGAAGACUUGUGGAAAUUCACCGGUUGUUGUCCUGAUAAGGUACAUAAGGAGUCGAUAAGACGUUUCAGAUUUUGGCAGUCCGAUGAGUUAGUCUUACAUAGAACUAGAUGAUACUAUGAUACUAUCAUCUGUGAAAAGGAGGCAAGGGAUGGUGUUGGUUCCUGCAGCCAGCUUGAAACCAAUACCGUUGUUAGGGCUGAGGCUUUCUUUAGAGAGCAUUAUGAUAAAUACUUCUAUGCAUAGAAUAAACAGUUAAGGGGAGAGGGGGUCUCCUUGUCUAAUUCCCCUAGAUGGGCGAAAGUGGUCGGUAGGAUUCCCAUUGAUAUUAAGGGAGUCAUAGUGACACAAGUUUUGACCCAGUUAAUCCAUUGGGAAUCCAAAGGCUCUGAGUGUAGCCCAUAGGAAGUUCCAUUCUAUGCGGUCGUAAGCUUUUUCCAUAUCGAGUUUUGAGAGCACACCACCCCGUUUUGUUUUUGGACUUGUGAAAGGUGUUGUGGAUUUCUUGGACAAUUAAAAGAUUGUCAUGGAUGAUCUGUUUGGUGUAAAGACGUUUUGAAAUGGGCUAAUAUCUUUCUGGAGCAUUGGACAAAAGCGAUUCACUAUUAUCUUUGAGAUUGAUUUAUAAAUAAUGUUGAAAAGACUGAUUGGUCGAAAUGGGCUGCAGUUUCCGGGAUGGUAACUUUGGAAAUGAGAGCAACUAAAGUGUGGUUCAAAUUUGGCGAAAUGCACCCAUGGGAGAAGAAGCUUGUAACUGCAGUAGUAACUUCCUUCCCAAUGGUGUUCCAAUAGGCCUGAUAGAACUUAGGUCCAAAACCGUCGGUUCCUAGUGCUUUGAAAGGGUCCAUGCUAAAAAAAGCAUUAUGUACUUCCUCGUCCGAAACUGGGAAAGUGAGCGCAUUACUUAGGGCAUACGAAACAAUAGGUUGAAUAAAAUCGAGGUUGAUGGUUCGUUGGGAUGAGAUUUCCGGUGAAACUCUAUUUUGAAAGGACGAGGUGAGAGAUUGACGAAUUUGGAUUGGGUCGUCCUCCCAUUGCCCUAAGUCGUUUUUUAAACUAUAAAUCGUAUUCUUUGCAUUCCGAGUUUUCAUUUUAUUGUGGAAGAAUCUAGGGUUACGGUCCCCUUGCGUGAGCUAGGUUUUUCCUAGCAAGGUUUCCCCAAGCUUUGUGUUUAAAAAGGAGAUGUUUUUCCCUUUGUUUGAUCAUAUAGUUAAGGUGAUUCUUGAGUCUUGGGUUAUAAGGUGCGCAAUGAGUUUAGACUCGAUCUCCGUGAUUUUUGUUUCAUUAGAUUGGAGUUUGGUAGUAUUAUUACCGUAUUUCACCUUAGCUCGGAUUUUAAGAAGGCCUUUUAUACCGGAAAGUUUGGUCGUUAUCCUGUUGAAGAAUCUGGAGCCGCGAAUCCCUAUAUUCCAUUGUUUUCGGACAAUGUCGAGGGAUUCUUUUUCUAAGGUCCAAUAAUUUUGGAAUCUGAAUAUGGAUGAGUUCACUACAUUUUCGCCUGAGAGGAAAAUUGUCGGGGCCAGAUCGGAGACGGUGAAGUUUCCAUAGGCAAAUACUUGCUUUCUCAAUGUUGUCGAUAAAUUGAUUAUUGCUUACCGCUCUGUCUAGUCGUUCGUUGAUUGGGGUGGGAUCUUAAUUCAUUUUCCACGAAAAUGUUUGUUGGAGAUAAGGUAUAUCCGUGGCAUGAAGAGAGUUAGGAAGUGGAGGAAGACGGGUACAUUGGUUACGGGAGGGGGGAUUUCCUCCCGCUUUAUCGUUUGGGGAGAGGAGUUCGUUAAAAUCACCAAUUAAAAGCCAUUGGAUGUCAAUAUUGGAAAGAACGGAUUCCAUAUAAUCCCAAAAGGUUUGAUUUUGGUCUUCCUUAGCGGGAAAGUAUGCUCCCGUGAUCAUAAAAUGCUUACUUAGGGGUUUGUAAAGGACACGUAUAUGGGCACAACGGUUGUGGCUAUCGUGGUUGAUCAUGGAUAAGUUGUUUAAACUCCAACAUACCCAGAUUCCACCACGAUAGUUAAUUGGAUCAAUGAUUAUGGUAUUCUGAAAAUUAUGCGGUUGGAGAAUGCGUUUACUAUUGGUAUGGUUGGUCAUAGUUUCUAGUAUGAACAUGAUAUCUGGAUUAUACUUGUUCUUAAUGUAGAUUAAUUCUGUUGUAGCAUGUGGUUUUUUGCCACCGUGAAUAUUCCACGAAAUUGUUUUCAUUUAGGUCAUGCUUGGAUUGAGGGUAAUUAUUAAAGGGGUAAUAAAAGUCAAACUAAGGUAAUUGAAGGUGAUGAUGAGGGGAUGAAGUGGUGGCAAAGGGAACAAGCUAGUGUUGGCAAGAAGAAAAUAAAAGGGAAGGGGGAACAAAUACCCUCAUCAUGGGGGGAAUAGUUAACCACCAUCCCACUAGGGUGAUUAUUACCCUCAUUUGGGGGGUAAUUACUUCCCCUCUUCCUCCCUUCUCCUCACAACACCUCCACUACCACAACUUCUCAUCACAAUACCACCACACCACCCUCCUUGCAACCACCUCAAUUCACCUUCAUUGUCCUUUUAUUAUGGUGGUUUGACUUUUAUUACCCCCAUAGUCCAUUACACCCAAUCCAAGCGUACCCUUAAAGGAAGGGGGUGGCGUCAUGGUGUAAAAACUCGCCCGAGUUAACUCGUAUCGCCCGAGUUAACAAGGUUUUGGAGGCUGGCGAUACGAGAUAUCCCGAGUUGUAAGGUGUUUAUAAAAACAGCGAGAUCUCGACCGGUUCAUCCCAUCCGAACGAAUUUUGUCCGCAUUAAACGUUAUAAACCUCACAUCUACUCGGUUUUCAGCCGAAUUCCCCAUGUUUUCGACAAAAAGAAAGGGAAAAAGGAAAGAAAUGGAGAAACUCCAUUGAAAUAAAGUAGAGAACUCCAUUUUCAAAUCUAAAACAAGAGAGGAGAGAGAAGGUAGACAAAGGAAUUCAUUUUAAUUAUGUCACGUGUACAGUUUAGGGGAGGGGGAUUAGGGUAGGUAGUGAAUGGGACUGACAUGAGGCUUCUUUUACAAAUUUCAAAUUCCUACUCAACAACCGCGACAAGGUCCGCAAUUAACGCAUCAUUUCCGUUACCGAGACUCAGCGACCGAUCCCACGACCGUGACCGAUAUCACAUUUUUUAUCUAUGGGUGGCGUAGAGACCAGCAGGUCCUUGGGACCUGGUUCCGAGUGAGUGUAAAACUCAGUUCAUAAGGGACAUAAGUCCACAGUUCCACAAGAGUAAUAGAAUUUAGUUGCAUAAGAUUCAAAGAAGUGGUAAAAAAAUAACAAGAACUAACCAAAAUAGUACAUAAACUUCUCGCAUUGUAGAUUAUAGGUACGAAAUAGAUCACUAGCGAGAUAGGCAACAUGGUAGUGUCCAUCCACGUAAGGUGGGCUGCAUUAGAGAUACGUAAUAGCUGAUCAUUAUGAAGCCUUUGACGCCAAUUGAUCUUCAUCUGUAUAAUGGUACAAACAAUAUAGAAACAAUUAGCAUGAAAAGGGAGAGGGCAGUAAUAGUAAGAGUAGUUUAACCUAUGAUCAGGAUAGAUGCUAAGAUAGUGAACAUACGCGAGUAAAGGAGAGAUCUUGCCCAGGGAAAAUAAGGAAAAGAAGGGUGGGACAAAACAGUUCUCAGGAAGAAACUAGGAGGGGGGUUGACAGGCUUAAGUCGUAUCACCUAAUCAAAAAUAACCUAAGUCCACUAGCUAGGUAGCAAGGGAAGUCAGGAUCGAAUCCACAGGGAAACAAUGUUCUUUCUACUAUUAAUCAAUCAGACUAGACUAUUGGGAACAAGAGUUGGUUUGAUGGUUUGCUAAGACUACUAUGAUAAUUAAACAAUUAAGAAUCAAGAUAUUAAGGAAUCUAGGGUAUAGGUUCACCAACAAAUAACAAUCCAGGACAAUAAACAAUCAUGAUAAUCAACAAAGUAAUUAAUUGGACUAGCAUGCUCUCUCGAAUCGAUACUAAUAAUAGACUUAGAAUUAACGGGCUCUCGCUACGUAUUAACUCCAAUUCCACCUAUUGACACAAGCCUAAACAUCAAAUUGCAUCUCUCGAAUCUUAACUUGAUAUUGCGUAACUACCACAAUUAAACCUGCGCAAAUCUAAUUGUAUAGUGAAAUAAACCAAUCAAUAGGAAUUAAUUACAAUGCCAACAAUCACAAUUAUUCAAUAUCCUUUCAUGUUAUUCAAGGAUCCCUAAACCCUAGAAAAUAAAUUACUCAAGCAUAAUAACAAAUAACAAAGUAAUCAACAUAAUGGAAAACAUGAUCAAAAGUAAUUAAUAAAGCAAAAUAGAAAGCAAUACCUAAAUGUAGAACAAAAGGAUGAACUAAAAAUUGGAGCUUUGAUUGAAACUAAAAAUAAGUGCUUGGAACAAAUUUGAGAGAAAACUAGAUUAAGAGAAAAUAAACUAAGGGUCUAAUACUAGAAAAUAAGAUGUCUACUAAAAAUAAAGGGCUAGUAUUUAUAGUUUGUCCAAAAUACAAGCCAAAAACCGGAAAGAAAAAACGCGAAAAAGCAUCAGGGUUGGCGUCGCCCGAUCGGGCGGUGCUUUGCCCGAUCGGGCGAACUGCUCGAUAGUCGGCCCGAUCGGGCGAAAUUCCGCCCGAUCGGGCGGUUGCGAAAUACCCAGAACAGCGCCCAGAAUGACCGCCCGAUCGGGCGCGUGUUGAAACUGCACGAUCCUCAAUCUUCAAAACGCCAUAUCUCCUUCGUUAUUCGUCGGAAUCAGGCGAGUGACCACUUGUUGGAAAGCUAUUGAAGUCUAGAAUCCAACCCGAUUGGAAUUACUUCAUUUGGAGUUGUAGAACUUGAGUUAUGAUUAUAAUAGUGGACUAUAGUCAUUUUUCUACUUCUUUCGUUAUUCGCUUUGCUUCAAAACUCUUCCAACUUAAGGUUUGUGGUCUCGAAAGUACAUAAUCUCUUGUAUUGAUUCAAAUGAGUAGGAAAUGCACAAAUGCUAAUUCCUACAAUGAUGAACCUGAAACUACAAACACACUACAAGGAGCACAUUAGUACUAAAAAUCGCUCCGAAGAGCUCAUUUGAGAUCAAAAAGUACUAAGGGACGGGGGUAAAAACACUACAAAAUAUGAACAUAUCAAACUCCCCCAAGCUAGAUCUUUGCUUGUCCCUAAGCAAAGAAAUCAUCGAUGAAUACAUAAAUCAACUUCACCCCAAACACAUCUUAAAACAAUGGAUACGAUUCAAGGUAAAAUUCAACAAGCAUUCAUAAUGCCAACCAAUCAAAUCCAUUCGACCACAAAUCCUCCCUAACAAUCGUCACGCAGAGCGAACUACAAGUGCACAAUGGAAUUCAAGACUAGUCCUCACACACUCUUCAAUCAUUUAUGUGGCGGGUAAAAGAUGUACUCGUUCGCUCUCCUCCAAUCAUAUAAGUGAACAAUGCUCUCCCAAACUCACAACACUCGUGUGUCUGGAAAAGCAUACACUCAACCUAGUAGUCGACUCGAAAUGUGUCGUGUCAUAACUUGCAUUGAUAAACAACUACUUUCACAUUAAUACAACUCUAUGCACAAAGGUCGAAAGGUCUUUCAAGCUUGUAAUGAUAGGCUUAGGUAAGGGUGUGGUAAAUUUGGGUAAAAUGUGAGCUUAAAGCCUUGGCUUUGGGGAGCAUAAAUCCUAGCAAAUCCAUGAUCAAUCACAAAUGAUGACCACAACUCUCCCACUCAACACAUGAAUAAAACAACAAACAAACCACACUAUACUUUCUUGCCUUGAUUUCACAAUUAUAACCAAUCACUCAUGAAGAUAAGAAAUUGUAAUACCGGAGUGACAAAAGUUUGAAUUAUUUUGAGAAUAACGAUUUUUUCUUUUUUGCUCAAUCUCUUUUUUUUUUCUUUUUUUUUUAUUCUCCUCAUCUCAUUCAUUUUUCAACUCAUUUUUUUCAACAACAAUCAUGAUAAGAAGAACUUCCCUUUUCAAUACUCAAUAUGCUCAAAAUGUACCACACUACAACUCCCUCACCUCACUACUAUUAGCUCCCCCAAGCUAGGCUUGGGACUAGUAACCAAUGGGGAAUUUACGGGCUUGUAAUGUGGUUAGUCACCGAAUAAAGGGCACAAGCACAACAUGGGUAGAAAAAGAGGAAACAAAUUUAUCUAAUUUCAUCUGAAGGCUACCUAAAUGGAAAAAUGCCUUCGUCCUCCACAAUGUGCAUGUAUAUGAGUCAUAAAACACUACUAACAGUUGCAAAUCAAUACUCAAAAUCAACGACACACCAGGAAACUAUCACACAUUCCUAACCAAGUCAACUAGCCAAGCACCAAGUCCACAAACAGUUAGUCAGAGUUGACUCAUGUUAAGGCAUCAAAGUAAUCGAAUAUUAAAUCAUGGCUAACACAUCUACAUUAAUCAUCAUCAAAUACCAAGAAUCAAAACAAUUUUCAAUCAAAGGGGCACAGGGAAGCAUGAUUUUGCAUUCAUCGGAACGUAAUUUUGUAUUUUUUUUUUUUUUAAAAAGCGAUAAACUACUCUAGAAAGCAAUAACACAUACCUCCCCCAAGCCAAACUCAGCAAUGUCCUCAGUGCUUCAAGGAGUGGAGAUCGAGGGUCUCAAUUUUCAUUAAGCCCCUCCGGCUCCAACUCUUAUAUGCCUCCCGCAAAGAGAUUGGUUAGUAGAUAACCAACGAACGAGCGCAGAAGCUUGUCAUGCGCACUCGCACAACUUUCGUGCAACAAGACAUGCACGAUAAUCAACAACAACAUUUGCAUAAAGUCCGAAUGAACUCUAUUGGGUUAGAGAAUUUAAGUAAGAACCAACCAUGACCCCAAAAGCGCAUAGAGAACUCACCAUGGAUAGAACCCCAGUCCCUACAAAGUCUAGACAUGACAGCUUGCUUUGGAAGAUCUUCCCCCCAUGUUUUCUCCAAAAUAGUAGGCAACAUAGCUACUUGGUUAGCUUGAGCUAGGAGGUCUAUGGUAGAUUGGUAGGAAUACUUGGACUUGGAACUUGUGCUGCAGAAUGAGGUGGUGGCGCAUCAAGUGAGGAAGGGGGAGCAUGAUUAGGACUGACAGUUCCCAAAGAGAAGGUUCAUUCUCAGCUGAUUGAGGAGAGGUGGCCUGACCAUUAUUAUGAUGGUUGCUUCCACAUCCAUAUUCGUUACUUCCCUGUUGGGCAGUCCAACAGCAUUAGGGAAGAUGAAGAGUUGUUGAUCUUAAGAAUGUUGGCAUAGCUAGAUUCUUUAGGCUUAGUAGACAUUAAGGCGAUUUUAACAGAGAGAGGAAUUGAAUAGGAUGGCUUUGUGAGAGGGAAACUGCUGGAUAAGGAAAUGCUUUAAAUAAGAGUCUGUAAAUUGUUUGGCUGUGUCAUAAAUGCGAUUAAGAGAAGCGUAUAAAUAGAAGAAGCUUUGAGCACAAACAACACGCACAAAAGUCGAAUAGCUAUACGAGCAGUACAGAAGAAUCUAGAAUGCAAUUCUUAAUAAAUAAAUACCAAAGAGAGAGCAACAUUAGUAAUCAGGCAAAACCACAAUCACUAAGUGCAAAGAGGAAGGAUCUAGAAUCCAGAAAUAAAACACAAAAUAAAAUCUGAAAUUAAAAAACCAAGAAAAUAAUGAGAGAUAAACAUGAUCCAGAAAAACACAAGAAAAUGAGGCAAAACAAUCCUAAAAUAGAGCAGACAAAGUACUUCCCUGAGCUAAAAUACUCUUUGGCGAUUUGAGUGUCUAAAGUGUCUUGAAGAUAAAUGAUAAUGAUGACUGCCUUUUCCCUCCAUUGGCUGGAUUAUUCCGGUUGAUUAGUGAAAAAUAAAAAUAAAAUCCAAUAAAUGGAUUUUUCUCAUAAUUACUGUUCACUAUCCCGAGGCAGGAGCAAGGCGGAGAAACCAUGGCCACAGGAUGUGGCUUCUUCGGAUCUGACUUUGCAUCAAAAACCCACAAAUUUAAAGGUAAAGAAAACCGGAAAAGCAGAUUAGGGGUAGGAUUAUCGUCAUGACAAUUGUAGCUUAGCCAUGGUUGGAGAUCUUGAAGAGAUUAAGUUUUCUUAGGGGAGAUGAAGACGAGGAGAGAUCUGGUAAAAGACAUAGGAGGGGAGGCGGUGAGGCUAGGGAGUUGGUGGUUGCUUCCCAACAUAGAAAACCUAAGCAUCUUUUGUUUUUGUCUUUUUUUCUAUGUUACUCAGACACGAGUGUCGGUGUCGUGUCUGACACGGUGUCGGAGUGUCCGACACUUCGAUCCAAAUAUUUACAGACACUCCGACACGGUCAAAGGAGUGUCUUGACUUAUUUUUUAGACACGGCUCCAAAAUAAAGUGUCGGAAAAAAAAAGACACUUUAUAAAAUAAUUUUUUUUUCAUAUUUAGUAAAUAAAAAAAUAAAGAUUAAAAUAUUAAUAAAAGUAAGGUAAUAAAUUAAAAACAGAAAAAAAUACAAAGAAUCCAGUAUUGGAAAAAGUAACAAAUAAAAAAACAGAAAAGAAAAGUAAAUGACUUUUGGAAUUUAGAGGGAAAUGUAUCAGGCAUUUAUUAAAAACGUAAAAAGAAAAGGUGCAAACAGUAAAUUUCCUAGAAUCCUAGAAAAAGGCAGGUGGAUUUGUCCCACUUCCCACCACUAAUUUAAUAAUAAAAAGUUAAAACAAUAAAUAAAAAAGUGUAAAGUUCCUAGAUACCUAGAAAAGCACGUGGGUUUGUCCCACUUUCCACCCCCUAAUUUAAUUAAAAAAAAAAGGUAAAAAAAAAGAAAAGUAAAAGGUGUAAGUUCCAUAAAUGACGGGAGAAGGAAGAAGGAACGCCGAAAGCCAUGGCUAUGGCUGAUUCGGAGUAAAUUUCAACGAAAAUCAAAAUUGAAUAGUCCAUUCCACUCGUUUUUUCUUCUACAAUAAAAGCCCUAAUAAUAAUUUUCUUCUCUCUCCUUCCUCGGCCUUCAAUUGUUAGAGUUAGGGUUUUGAAAUCCCGAUUUCGACACUUCUUUUCCGACCCUUUUCCGACACCGGUGUCGACACCUUCCCGGACACGUGUCGAGCGUCGUGUCGCGGGUCGGGUCGUGUUGACACGGACACCCACCGUCCGACGAAGUGUCGGAGUAAAAAAGUCUUUUUAGAAUUCUCUUUCUCUCACUACAGUUUCUCUCACUACCCAUUUACAGUACUGGGGAAACAGGGAGUUAGUGCUGGUUAUACCUCGUACUUAUUCGAUUUGGAAAAAUGGUACAAUUAGAAAGUACAAAGUACGAGUAUACUGUAUUUCCUACCCCGAUAGAGUGAAAGUAACCAAGCCAUCUAGUAGUAUGCUUUUUAUGGGGUAUAAUGUAACCAAGCCUGAGAGUUUAAUGUAUUUCCUUUCCUUGAGAGUAACAAGAUUAGUACAAGCAAUAAUGUGGAGCUAAUGAGCUAUGGAUCCCAACAGACACAAAGCAGUGGCUGCAAACUUCACUGAUAACUCCUUUGAGUCUAUGAGUUCUGAACCUCUAGGUUUACAGUUGUAUAUGGCGCAUUCUACUUCAUCUGAGCAAGAAGGUUGAUCAGAUAAUCUAAUUUGUAUUCAGACGCUCAUGUACGUGCACACCUUCUGUUUUGGAGUCCAUUAUAUUGAAGAGGUGGAGUUGGGAUCAUUGACACAACAUUUGAAGAAACAAUGUACAUCCUAGUUGUUAUAUAGACAUUUUUAAGCAAGUGAUUUAUGAAUAUUAGUUAUUUUGACAUUUUGAUGUAAUUAUGUGCACUUUAAUUCACGUUGGAGAAAUGCAUAUGGUGGAGAUUCUUUUGGAGUAAUUAAACUUGGUGUAUUUGUUGCA